ACAGCUUGCAAACAAAGGUAUACUUUCCUUGCAAACAAAUUUAUACUUUGUAACUUUUGUCACCAUGAAACAAAGUUCAAGUGUGAGUCUAUAAUUUGGCCACUUUGAUUUCCUUCAAACCUCCAGAACAGCAAGGUAAACUGCAACUUGGCCAUGAGCGAGAAACAGUGCGAUCAUCACUCGGUUUUUUUGUCGUGUGAUCUCACUGGCGUUGCCAGCCCUGACACUCCUUGCAAAAGGUUCAUCUUCGUCCAUCUUUUAUUAGUGUCCUCUGAAAUUUAUAUACUGCCAUGCCAUGAGUUAUUUUCUCUAAUCGUCAUCUUAUGCUUUUCUAUUGCUUGAGCAUUGAGAUUGAAUAA